rnacentral:lncRNA from 1 species
AUGCAUCUCUGUAGUUUUAGAGCAGAAGCCAUGUCAGCAUAUUAUAAAGAAAUGAAUACCAACCAGAUGAGAGAAGACUUGUAUUCCAAUCCUGCCUUUCAUGCUUACUGUCCAUUCAACCUUGGGAAAGUCACCUAAACUGCUUUGAAUCUCAUUUUUGUCAUCUUUAAAAUGAGUUAGAUAUAUUUGACGGUUUAUAAAAUCCUCUCUGGCUCUACAUCUUUGAUAUUAUGAUUCUUCUUUCUCCCUCUGCUGCCUUCACCAACAAGCUAACUCUUCACAACUCAAUUUAUUGAAGGAAUCCUUUUCAAUAAGCAGGGUAACCUUCUCAGAGAAGUACACCAAACUUCUCAAUCUAUAGAGAUAUAUUAGAGACAAUAAAGAAACUGUAGAGACACA